UACGGAGGGUGCAAGCAUUAAUCGGAUUUAUUGGGCGUAAAGGGCGCGUAGGCGGGGAUGUCAGUCAGAUGUGAAAGCCCAAGGCUCAACCUUGGAACAGCAUUUGAAACUACAUCUCUAGAGGGUAGGCGGAGAAAACGGAAUUCCACGUGUAGCGGUGAAAUGCGUAGAUAUGUGGAAGAACACCAGUGGCGAAGGCGGUUUUCUAGGUUACACCUGACGCUGAGGCGCGAAAGCAAGGGGAGCAAACAGG
rnacentral:rRNA from 1 species